GUUUCCAUGCAGGAAGACAGGUAGGAGGAGAUCAUUUGGCAAAGAGAUUUGCAGAGUGUCGGGUGACCGGCAAAGAGAUCUGCAAAGUGUCAUUUGAAGACGACGGGAGUGGUCGCAGAGGUAGCAACGACUGGAGUAUAACAUGAAGGAGUUGGUGAUCCCUGAAUAGCUGCCCUGGGAGGAGAGCUGCGGACACAUGCUCCAAAUGUUGGGACAUAGGCAUUACCUAUUAGGAGAUGCGGUAAAGAUGCCGGCUGUCGGGUUUACGGCAGUCAGAAUACUGAGACUGGGAUCCCGACACUCUUCAGAAUCCCGACGUUGGAACUCCAAAUGGGCAAGGAUACCGACGCCCGUAUCCCCACGAUCAUAGGUUCAGGACUGGGCAAGGGGGGUUAGAUUUAGGCA